UCUGACGGAGCACGCCGCGUGAGUGAUGAAGGUUUUCGGAUCGUAAAGCUCUGUUGUUAGGGAAGAACAAGUGCGAGAGUAACUGCUCGCACCUUGACGGUACCUAACCAGAAACCCAACGUUAACUACCUUCCCCCAGCCCCCGUUAUACCUUAGGGGGCAAGCGUUGACCGGCAUUCUUGGGUCUAAAGGGCUCGCAUGCGUUUUCUCAUUUCUGAUGUCCAAAGCCCCCCGCUAAACCGCGAGGGUCAUUGCAAACUGGGAAAUUUGAGUGCAGAUGAGCAUAGUGGAAUUCCACGUGUAGCGGCGAAAUGCGUAAAGAUGUGGAGGAACCUAGUGGCGAAGGCCACUCUCUGGUCCGGCCCUGACGCUGAGCAGCGAAAGCGUGGGGAGCGAACAGGAAUAGAUACCCUGGAAGUCCACCCGUAAACGAUGAGUGCUAAGUGUUAGGGGGUUUCCGCGCCUUAUUGCUGCGCUCAACGAUUAAGCGCUUCGCCUGGGGAGUACCCGCGCAAGUUUU
rnacentral:rRNA from 1 species